AUCCAACUGACGAUUCCCAUAUAGGACGGAACGCGCAUCCUGGAU
rfam:Schistosoma curassoni strain Dakar, Senegal genome assembly, scaffold: SCTD_scaffold0001511